rnacentral:misc_RNA from 1 species
AUUUUUUUCAAAAACGAUCGUUAUUCGUUUUCUGCUAUAUCCCUGAAUAUAUGCUACAAAUAUCCUCUAUCCUAGAGUUGCAUUUAUAUAUAUCCUAUCCUUGAACAUAUGCUACAAAUAUCCUGUAUCCCGGAGUUGCAAAUAGCCUAGAUCCCUGAACACAUGUUACAAAUAUCCAGUAUCUCUGAGUUACGUAUAUUCUUUACCCUGAAUAGAUGCUACAAAUAUCCUGUAUCCCUGAGUUAUGUAUAUCCUAUCCCUGAAUAUAUGCUACAAAUGUCCUGUAUCUCGGAGUUGCGUUGUCAUAUAUCCCUAAACACAUGUUACACAUAUCCUGUAACCUAGAGUUGCAUAUAUCCUAUAUCCUUGAAUAUAUGCUACAAAUAUCCUGUAUCCCAGAGUUGCGAAUAUCCUAUAUCCCUGAACAUGUUUUACAAAUAUCCAGUAUCUCUGAGUUACGUAUAUCCUUUACCCUGAAUAGAUGCUACACAUAUCGUGUAUCCCGGAGUUACGUAUAUCCUAUAUCCCUAAAUAUAUGCUACAUAUAUCCUGUAUCCCUUAGUUGCAUAUAAAUAUAUCCUAUGUCUUAGAACAUAUGCUACAAAUAUCCUAUAUCCCGGAGUUGCAUAUAUCCUAUAUCCCUGAAUAUAUUAUACGUACGUGUAUCCUGAAGUAGCCUCCUCUCACCUCCUCCUCCCAUACCGAGGUUGCUUUAGAUAAUUCCACACCUGGAACUUCCAGUCUUCUUCCAAUCCUCUUAGUUUAGAUACACAUACACAACCACUAGAGCAGAUGUAAUACAGUUCAUUAAACUCUUCAGCUCUGUAGAAUACUCUCUUAGAUUUCGUAGGAAUCUACAUCUGGUCAGCAAUUCCAUUCACUGAGCUAUGGUUUAGUCUGAAAUCUGAUAAAGAUCAAAUACUAACCAUGUAACUUCACUUUUUCCUAAGCAUUAGCAACCCAACAACAAUGGAGUUUAUGGUCUUAAAUGAGGUGAGGUCUCCCUCAAGAAUUUCUGAGAAGCGGAAAUACUUAGUACGGCAGAAAGCUACUGAAGAAAACACUCCCAAUACAUUCACACGGGAAACCUUAUCCCUGUCCCCUUCCAACUGUAAAGUAUCAUCAGUAUUCUCAUUUCGUUCAGAAACUGAGGCACCAAGAAACAACCGUCCGUUGCUGUCUCAUAGCUAUAGAACCCUUUCUGCUGAUUACCGGCCACCAGAAGCUCGACUAAGUGUCCAACGACAGAAAACGGCUGACUCAGCACCAAGUCGAGUUAGCAGCAGAGGAUCCUCACGUCAACAUUCUCUUAGCCAGGGGCAUAGUCGGGUUACUCUCAUUAGAGGAGAAUCCUGCUCCUUGGUUGAUAUCCCAACCUACCUGGGAAGCUCUGUUGAACUUGGACAGCUUGGUAGUCUAAGAAAUCCUCCAAUCCAGCUUGUGUUUGCUUCCACCAGACCAAGACUAAGAAUAGAUUUGACCAAGAAGAAGCCAGAAAAGUCGGCAAAGAAGACACAGUGGACAGUUCUGUGUGUGGCUGUGGCUAUGAUGACAAUGUGCGUAAUGUUGGUCGGUACAAUGCUCUCCAUAACAUCAGAAUAUCAGGACAAGAAAGUGUCAGACAUGAUAAUGAAAAAUCAGCCAGAAAUAUCAGAGAAACGGAAUUUACGCUAUCAUCAGAAUAGGCACUCGACCCUAAGACCGGAGUCAAGCAGUUCUGAAACUGGUUACAGAGAAACCACCGUUUCAUCAAUGCUGCCCAAUAUCAAAUAUUCAGACAUUGAUGUUAUUAGAUUUAAAGCAGUAUAUACAUAGCGGUGUUUAGAUAAUUUGCCAAACAUCGGACGUCCAAGAUCUGAUGAAGUAAGUUCCGUAUUAUCUAGCAUUAACAGGAACUUAUUGCACUGGCUCUUUACAAUCAAAACUUUAUCUCAGAUCUUAAUUCCAUGAACGUUUUCAAUUUUCAAUUCAAAUUACUAUCGACAAAUAUCUUUUUCUGUUUCUGUUUUAUGAAAUAAUGGCAUCCUGUUGUCUUUAUUUUUAACUUGAUCAGAUAAAGGUAUAUUUGUGUUCGCUCAUAAAUCAAAGUUUUUUAAAAUUUUGCCCCUGAAUAAAAUAUUUGUCUAUUUCAUUGAUAAUCAUUUUGAUAAAAGUAUAUCAUAAAAUUCGCCACUGUGAUCAGUAUAAUUGUAAUAUAAAUAGAUAUUUAAAUUGUACCAACGUUUUUAACUAAUAUGUUUAAUAAAAAUACAUAAUUGGA